CUCCGGUUGAUCCCGCCGGACCCGACUGCUAUCAGAGUGGGACUAAGCCAUGCGAGUCAACGUAGCAAUACGUGGCAUACGGCUCAGUAACACGUAGUCAACAUGCCCAGGGGACGAGGAUAACCUCGGGAAACUGAGGAUAAACCUCGAUAGGCCAUGAUUUCUGGAAUGAUUCUUGGCUCAAACCUAUAUGGCCCCUGGAUUGGACUGCGGCCGAUCAGGCUGUUGGUGAGGUAAUGGCCCACCAAACCUAUUACCGGUACGGGCUCUGAGAGGAGGAGCCCGGAGAUGGGCACUGAGACAAGGGCCCAGGCCCUAUGGGGCGCAGCAGGCGCGAAACCUCUGCAAUAGGCGAAAGCUUGACAGGGUUACUCUGAGUGAUUUCCGUUAAGGAGAUCUUUUGGCACCUCUAAAAAUGGUGCAGAAUAAGGGGUGGGCAAGUCUGGUGUCAGCCGCCGCGGUAAUACCAGCACCCCGAGUGGUCGGGACGUUUAUUGGGCCUAAAGCAUCCGUAGCCGGUUCUACAAGUCUUCCGUUAAAUCCACCUGCUUAACAGAUGGGCUGCGGAAGAUACUAUAGAGCUAGGAGGCGGGAGAGGCAAGCGGUACUCGAUGGGUAGGGGUAAAAUCCGUUGAUCCAUUGAAGACCACCAGUGGCGAAGGCGGCUUGCCAGAACGCGCUCGACGGUGAGGGAUGAAAGCUGGGGGAGCAAACCGGAUUAGAUACCCGGGUAGUCCCAGCUGUAAACGAUGCAGACUCGGUGAUGAGUUGGCUUAUUGCUAACUCAGUGCCGCAGGGAAGCCGUUAAGUUUGCCGCCUGGGGAGUACGGUCGCAAGACUGAAACUUAAAGGAAUUGGCGGGGGAGCA
rnacentral:rRNA from 1 species